GCAGUGAGUGGCUUCCGUGUUUUCUUAAGAAAAAAAAAGUAGAUCGGCUUGCCGUCAGCUACCUCGAAUUCAGGCCGGCGGACGCGCCGUGCUCCUACGCUCGAUGCCGAGGUUACCUCCAUUUGUCGCUUCCGCCCACGGCUCUAGGUGGAGGUUGACCCGAGGGGGAUCGAUGGAGAAGUGGAGGGAGAGAGAAAUAGAGGGGCGCCGCCCGGCCUGCUCAAGCUGGAGCUCGGCUCGAGGUAGGGGGAGGAGUGGAGGAAGGGGAAAAUGGAGAGGCGCCGCUCGGCCGAGCCUCCAGGCGGAGUUCGGCCUGAUGGAGAUGGAGGAGUGGAGAAGCUACGCGUGGGCGGGAUCGACGCCCGCCGAAUUCGCUGGGAGCAGCAAUUGCUCGUCGUCGGCACUGUCUACCGUGAAGGAAUCGAUGGCCUGGUAUGCAGCUCGUUUUUGAGCUAAGAAGUUUGUGAGUAUUCUUUCUUGAAGCAUCAAUUUGAAGAUAAACUGAACUUGUCGGCUACCAUGAGAAUUAUCACUGUAUUCAUCGCGACCAGAAAUUCAAGAAGAGCUUGAUGGAUUUCUUGCCUGUCCAAAAGGUCUCCUUGAACCCAAAUGCAUCUUACCCUGAGUUCUUUCUGCAUCGAUCACAUGAGUUGGAAACUGGCCAUAGAGUUCAUCAGAUGGAAAAGUGAUAUGCAUCUUCAAUUACAAAUGGUAAUCCAUACACCAGUCUGAGAAAAGAUAUCUGAUGUUGACGACAAGCAUCAACAAGAGGGCGGAGCAGAAGAGAUGGCAGGAUGACGACAAGAGGGCGAACUAAACCACGGGGCAAUUAGAAAUCAACUAAAGCAUGUAUACAAUUUUUUUUCAUGCACAAACAUUUCGUAACUACCUAAGUGAAAUCUUCAAGCGGAUUGGAAUCUAAAUAUCUAUAAAAUAG